rnacentral:rRNA from 1 species
UGGGGAAUAUUGCACAAUGGGGGAAACCCUGAUGCAGCGACGCCGCGUGAACGAAGAAGGUAUUCGUAUCGUAAAGUUCUGUCCUAUGGGAAGAUAAUGACAGUACCAUAGAAGAAAGCUCCGGCUAAAUACGUGCCAGCAGCCGCGGUAAUACGUAUGGAGCGAGCGUUGUCCGGAAUUAUUGUGCGUAAAGGGUACGCAGGCGGUUUAAUAAGUCGAAUGUUAAAGAUCGGGGCUCAACCCCGUAAAGCAUUGGAAACUGAUAAACUUGAGUAGUGGAGAGGAAAGUGGAAUUCCUAGUGUAGUGGUGAAAUACGUAGAUAUUAGGAGGAAUACCAGUAGCGAAGGCGACUUUCUGGACACAAACUGACGCUGAGGUACGAAAGCGUGGGGAGCAAACAGG